UUUGGACCUAAUUUAGUCAACAGAAAGAGUCUAAACUGAGCUGAAAUCAUCUUGGACCCUUCAGAUGGAGGUCAAACCAGGACCGGAUGAGCCAUCCAGAACCAGGAAGGCAUCAUGGUUGGUCUGGUAAACCAUGAAGGCAUCAUGGUUCUGAUACUACAGUUGGAUCAGAACCUUUCCACAGGCUGGAAGAUAGAAACCAAACCUUCCUGUUCUCUGAUGAGACCACAGGCUGGGACAUAAUAAGCAAAGGGGAAGCUUGAACCAUCCUAGCUGUGAGAACUUUGAACCUGAAAGCUGCAGAACUUACUCCAGCAGCGGUCCAGAAGGUUCUGCUGGAGGUCGGGUCCAAACGGAGCAGAUCCUGGUCCUGGUUCUAGUUCUGGUCCUGGUCCUGGUCGUGGUUCUGGUCCUGGUUCUGGUCGUGGUUCUGGUUCUGGUUCUGGUCCUGGUCCUGGUUCUGGUCGGUCCUGAGACAAGCCCGGCCGGGUCUGCAGAACAACCUCAGAGUUCUGUUUUUAUACGACUCGGCGCCGUGAUGUCAGACAUUCUUUGGGUCGCCCAGGUCUUCAUGGCGUCGCCCCGGCAACGCUGUCUCACACACACACACACACACACACCCCCACACACACACACACACACACGCCGGGUCAGUGAUGGGCGUCCAGUCAGAGACAUGGAAAGGAAACGAUGUCCAGAGGUUCAUGAAGGUCCAGAACCAUCUGGGCCGGGUCAGAACCAGAACCAUGCUGGACUGACUCUGUUCCUCCUGGGGAGGGACGACUUCAGGUGGCGGCAGCAUGGUGCUGUGGGACGGAGCUCAAGGCUGGAGGCAUCCAUGAUGAAGAAUCAUCAUCUUCCUCGUCUUCUCAGCCAAUCAGAUCGCCGAUCUCUCCAUGACACUGAUCCUCUCUACCGCUCCAUGACCCCUGACCUUUCCUUAAA